rnacentral:rRNA from 1 species
GAUGAACGCUAGCUACAGGCUUAACACAUGCAAGUCGAGGGGAAACGAUAGAGAAAGCUUGCUUUUUCUAGGCGUCGACCGGCGCACGGGGGAGUAACGCGUAUCCAACCUGCCCAUCACUUGGGGAUAACCUUGCGAAAGUAAGACUAAUACCCAAUGACCUCGCUAGAAGACAUCUGAAAGGGAUUAAAGAUUUAUCGGGCAUGGAUGGGGAUGCGUAUGAUUAGCUUGUUGGCGGGGUAACGGCCCACCAAGGCGACGAUCAGUAGGGGUUCUGAGAGGAAGGUCCCCCACAUUGGAACUGAGACACGGUCCAAACUCCUACGGGAGGCAGCAGUGAGGAAUAUUGGUCAAUGGACGAGAGUCUGAACCAGCCAAGUAGCGUGCAGGAUGACGGCCCUAUGGGUUGUAAACUGCUUUUAUAAGGGAAUAAAGUGAGUCUCGUGAGACUUUUUGCAUGUACCUUAUGAAUAAGGACCGGCUAAUUCCGUGCCAGCAGCCGCGGUAA